AUCACACGGGAGUUAGCACCUCGUGCAGUAAAGUAGAUUUUAUUUGCAUGUCCCAGAACUCUCCAGGGGCCCCCUGUGCAGCCUUCACAGGCACCGUGUCUGCAAAGAACGACCGCCAAGGUCGGGAAGGAGAGUUCUUGCCUCGGUUGCUGCUUCCCUCCGCAGACGAGAGACCACGGUGGCAGAAAGAUGGCCGACGCGGGGAGAAAGGCAAGCUUUCCAAACACCCCAGGGAGCAGAGCUGCGCUGCUGUGUGCCCUUCUCCCUGGGAACAUCACUCACGCUCCUGACCUUGCCUCCAGUGAAUGGCCCCAACGUGCACUGCAUUGCACACGAUUUAUGCACCUCUCAAGAAUCGGCCUGCACCCGCACGCCUGCUGCUCCUUUGCUGCCAGGUAACACGGGCCACAUGUUCAGUCCUUCUGUCUGGGAGCCUCUUGUCUUGUCUUGCUCUCCCUUCCGAAGUCCUGAGGGCUCCAACCUGAGCCUCUCCUGGACGGACACCCUGGCCUCCCCACCUGCUCUCAGCCAGUCAGGAGAUCUCCCAGACACGCUAUGUGGGCACUUCUCGCAAGGAGUUUUACAAACACAGAACUCAGUGAACUUUGCUUUUAUGGAAUUUAACUUUAAAGCCAUCUGAUUCGCUUUAUUUAUUGGAAAGGCAGAGUUACUUAGAGGCAGAGAAAGAGAGAGAGGUCUUUCAUCCACUGGUUCACUCCCCAAAUGGCUGCAAUGGCUGGAGCUGCGCUGAUUUGAAGCCAGAGGCCAGGAGCUUCUUCCGGGUACAGGAGCCCAAGGACUUGGACCAUCUUCUACUGCUUUCCCAGGCCACAGGAGAGAGCUGGAAAGGAAGUGGAGCAGCUGGAACUUGAACCGGCGCCCAUAUGGGAUGCCGGCACUGCAGGCCGUGGCUUUACCCACUAUGCCACAGUGUUGGCCCCCAUCUCUUUGGCUUUCUCUAAAUGAUGUAAGUCCUGGAAGAUACACGCUUAUAGAAAAGUGAAAAACAGGUGUAAAUGGGAUCAAAAGUCACCAUAAAAUUCCUUUCAAUCCCUUUACCGGAACCAUUUCUUCUGGAGCUAAUGUCUUGACUCUGUCUCUGGUUCUGGAAAUAUAAACAGAUCACAUCCUGCACUUUUUAUUCAAUAACUUGUUCAUGUCACUACACAGGGAUCGCUUCAGGUUUUUUUUUUAAUAUUUUAUUUAUUUAUUUGAAAGGUAGAGUUACAGCUUUAGAGAGAGAAAGAGAGAGGUCUUCCAUCCGCUGGUUCACUCCCCAAUUGGCUGUGGUGCACGGAGGUGCACUGAUCUGAAGCCAGGAGCCAGGAGCUUCUUCCGAUCUUCCACAUAGGUGCAGGGGCCCAAGACUUGGACCAUCUUCUACUGCUUUCUCAGGCUAUAGCAGAGAGCUGGGUCAGAAGAGGAACAGCUGGGACUCGAACCAGUGCCCAUAUGGGAUGCUGGCGCUUCAGGCAAAAGAUUAAUUUACUUCACCACAGUAUGGUUCCUUCAUUUUUUUUUAAUGAGCUAUUAUUCAGCCCUGAGGGUAAUCCGUGGUUUAUGGAACUAGUGUUUGUGGAAACACAUUCAAAUUGCUUGCAAAUUCUAGCUGUUUAAACAACGCUGUAGUGAACAUUCUCAAACACCGUUAGUGGGCGCCAUUCCUGUGAAUGGGGGUAGGAGAGUGAAUUAGCUCUUUGGGGUGCCGUGGUGAGGACACUGUUUGCUUAGAACAGAGUGUGGUUCUGUACAGCAUUAGGCCCAGUCUCUUUCCCAGGGCCUGACCUGGCCUCACAGGACUCCCUGUGUCACCCACACCUCCCUGAAGCAGGCUUGCCUCCGUCCUUGCUCUUCCAGGCCAGGCUGAUACGGGUGCCUCGGCUGUCACUGCCCAAGGAGCAAUAAAGACCUUCAUUGAAUUUCGUUGUCUUUGAGU
ensembl:lncRNA